UACGAAGGAUCCAAGCGUUGUCCGGAUUUACUGGGUUUAAAGGGUGCGUAGGCGGUUAAUUAAGUCAGUGGUGAAAGCCCUCAGCUUAACUGAGGAAUUGCCAUUGAAACUGAUUAGCUGGAGUAUGGUUGAGGUAACUGGAAUGUAACAUGUAGCGGUGAAAUGCUUAGAUAUGUUACAGAACACCGAUUGCGAAGGCAGGUUACUAAGCCAUAACUGACGCUGAGGCACGAAAGCGUGGGGAGCAAACAGG
rnacentral:rRNA from 1 species